UACUGAGGUCUCAAGCGUUGUUCGGAUUCAUUGGGCGUAAAGGGUGCGUAGGCGGCGCGGUAAGUCGGGUGUGAAAUCUUGGAGCUUAACUCCGAAACUGCAUUCGAUACUGCCGUGCUUGAGGACUGGAGAGGAGACUGGAAUUUACGGUGUAGCGGUGAAAUGCGUAGAUAUCGUAAGGAAGACCAGUGGCGAAGGCGGGUCUCUGGACAGUUCCUGACGCUGAGGCACGAAGGCCAGGGGAGCAAACGGG
rnacentral:rRNA from 1 species